rnacentral:tRNA from 1 species
GGAAGAGAAGCGUCCCCGGUGGGGCGCCCGGGCUUCAAACCCGGUGGAUUGCGCCAAGCGCGGUCGGUGGGUUCGACUCCCUCUCUCUUCCGCCA